ensembl:lncRNA
UUAUAUUUUUUUAAAUGAAUUCACAAAGCAGUUUUACAGGGUGAACGGAUGGCGGAGGAGGAGACAUAUAUCAGGUCAGAGCUAAACAUCAUUUUUGAGAUGCUUCUUUCUUCUUUUUUGCAUUUUAAUACCAGUUACUAUUUUUGUUAAUCCUUCCCAAUGUGUUUCAUAUGGGAAUUGCUUAUUUUUGUUUCUCUAUUGAUUUCUCUAACUAGCCAGAGUGUUUUGAGACCUGCAUCAAAGACACAGUGGACUCAGGUGAGGACUCUGAACCAGACAGGCCACCUAAUGCCUUCUGCACCCAGCUCUUCACAAUGGAAAAGAAGUUUGAAAUGAGGUGAGAACUUCAAAGUAAGUAAUCAUCUAGCAACCAUCAGAACAGCCUGUUUAGUUCAAAGGGUCAGAGAGAGGGUGGAUAAUUGUCAUGAAAAUAUCAUUUAUGACUGGUUUUGGUGCAAGAAACCAUGACUUUAGUGGGAUAAUGCUAUGAAAGUGUAAAAUAUGGUUCCUCUGAAGUACGUAAGCUAUCAGAACUUGUACUGAUUAAAUUAAUUUUGGUUUAAGGAAAAAUGUCUGUCCUCGUCUGGCCGUUCUUCAGUGGCUUUCAGUGAGGAAAAAUCGGUCUGAGUGUUAUUUGGCUCCUGCUGAGCUGGUCUGUGUGCCACCUUAUUGGCCAGCUGUUGUGGAAUAUGGAGGCCUGUCGCUCCCCACAGAGCAUGAACAUGUAAUUAAUGAGUAGAAUGCUUAAAGUGACAGCAAGACCAACUAGACCACACUCUCUUUUUAGUGCCCAACAUGGCAGCCUUUCUCAAAGCUCCUACCGGACAGAUGAUGCUCAUAAACUUACAUUUCUGUUUUCAUCGUCUUUCCUCAAAGAUCAGCUGAUUUCCUGCCGUACCUGUUUAAAAUGUUCACAAAUGUCUGACAGAGGUGUAGAAAUUCAUUGUGCCAGUGAGACGAGACGACAGAUAUUCUACCCGCUGGAGGAGCUAGGCAUCAAUGCACCAUCCCAGCAGAUCACCAAACAACAGGUCAGACCAGCUUCCAGAAAUAUUAACAUAAAACCUGCAAUCAAAUACUGCAACAACGAAAGCACCUGUAGUGUUAUUUGUAUACAAAACCAAUAGUUGAAUCUAUUCCAUACAACUCACCACUCACCAGCACAAUGCUACUGAAGUGUACUGCUUAGGGCUACGGCUUUGUUUAAUCACUUACCCUAAGUAUGAACACAACAAUGCAUGCUUUAGUGAUCACAUCGAGUAGAAAAUGGUAUGCCACAAGAGGGUGCUGUGCAGUAAAUGAAUGUGCCAUCACACGUGUAAUUUGUGACACACUUGCAACUCUCCAUCCCUAAACUGUCAAUGGACAGCAUGACAUCUUUUUUCCCCCACUUACAUUUAUCAGUAAUUAACACCGUAGCUGUCUGCAUUAUUCAACUCGUUACAUGUUCUGCGCAUCAGAAUCGUUAGCCGUACGUGAAGCAGAUCACAGGGCCGUUGUUGCCUGAGGAUAUUGAAUGUCUAGUUGUAAAGAAACAG